rnacentral:rRNA from 1 species
CCUACGGGUGGCAGCAGUGAGGAAUAUUGGUCAAUGGCCGGAAGGCUGAACCAGCCAUGCCGCGUGAAGGUCAGUGCCCUAUGGGCGUUAAACUUCUUUUGUGCGGGAGCAAUAAUGGUCACGUGUGGCCAGACGAGAGUACCGUACGAAUAAGCAUCGGCUAACUCCGUGCCAGCAGCCGCGGUAAUACGGGGGAUGCAAGCGUUAUCCGGAUUUAUUGGGUUUAAAGGGUGCGUAGGCUGUGCGGUAAGUCAGCGGUGAAAUGCCCCCGGUCAACGGGGUGAAGUGCCAUUGAUACUGGCUGGCUGGAAUGCGGAUGCCGUGGGAGGAAUGUGUGGUGUAGCGGUGAAAUGCAUAGAUAUCACACAGAACACCGAUUGCGAAGGCAUCUCACGAAGCCGCGAUUGACGCUGAUGCACGAAAGCGUGGGUAUCAAACAGGAUUAGAUACCCUUGUAGUC